AUGUGCGUUUUCACGACAGCUAAAAGUCUAAACUUCGAAAGAGCAAUGGCCACUUAUAUUUAACAUUUUCACUGUGGAUUGUAAUAGAGUUUUAGUAUCAGUUUAUUUUACUAGGUAGGUACUAGAUACUUAAAUGAAAUUUCUAAGGUCACCAAGCCUAAAUUUCUAAUUUGGAAAUACUACGAGUACCUGACAAAAAAAUGAUAUAUCCGUGCUUAAUGCUUAUUAAUACCU